UCCAAGCUGAACAAACCCAGCUCCCUUAGCCUUUCUACACAGGAGAAAUGCUCUAGCCCUCUGAUCUUCUUCGUGGCUCCAACAGCUCUGUAUCUUUCUUGUGCUAUGGGCCCCAGGCUGGGAUGCAGUGCUCCAGAUAAGGCCUCACAAGGGCAGAGUAGAGGGGCCUCCCCCUGAUUCUUCCUGGUGCAAAUACAUAUAAAUAAGAGGGAGGAUUUAAAAAUUAAAUUUUAAUAUUUAUGUCUCAACUCUGGCUACUUUAGGCAUCUGUAAGUGAUUUUAAAAAGCAGAAGCUCCCCGAGGGCCAGGAGUGGAUCAGCCUGUCCCGAUGCAGCUCAUGGGCACCACACACAGAGUGAAUCUCAAUAUGCAGCCAUAGAGGAACCCAUGGUGCAGCAGUGGAUGCGGCCUGGAAGAGGUACAGCCCAUGGAGCAGGCUCUGAGGAGCAGGUCCCUGCUAGCCUCCUAAGCACCUGUAUGGAAUAGUGCUGCAAGUCUGAUUCUAUUUCUAGGUUUGAUGAGAGAAUACAGGAGCCUGUGGAGUCUGCAGAACUAUAGGCAUGAUACAGCAAAAUAUUCUACACUUCAAGAGCAAUGAAAUUCUACCUGAAAGUGCUAAAGCUCAAAGCUAUCAGGAAAUUGUCCUGAAACUGAAAACCUCCAGGAAAUUGAGUGGACAUACCACAUGCAACAUCCAAGGCACAGAUGGGCUUCUCAGGGUGAACAAUAUUCCUCCAUCUCCUAAUAGCCAGCAGAGCCUUUUUUUCAGGCUGCCAAGAGAGCCUUCCCCUUGCUGCCCUCUCCCUCACCCUGAGAUCUGUAGCACUUGCUACCUUCAUAGCUAUAUUUGAACACAAUGAAGGUUUGAUCGCCAUAAUGCAAUGAGACAAAAAUCAAGCUGGUAACAUUAUGUAAGGUAACAAGAGCUCUGUAAUAUCUGCCAGUGUACAAAGAAGGAAAGAGUGUAUUUCACAUUAAACUAUUCCCUUUCUUUGGUGUAGGAUACGGCAUUGUUCACUUUGCUGUGUUUUUAGUGUUGUGUUGUUUUUUUUUUUUUUUUUUUAAAGGGAAAGCUAUCAACCUCUUUACUACAGUGACCACAACAGAAUUUGUCAGUGAGGGCAGAAUGGAGGUUACGUUAAGUGUUCUGCAAAUGAAGCUCUUCUCUGAGCAGCAGCUGUAAGCAAACAAGGGAGUCAGUGAGUGUGGGAAGAGUGUUCAUGGGGAAAGAAACACAGGAGGAAGCAGGCAGGCUGGGGAGUGCAGACUGAGAAGGUACAUAUCACUCCUGUAGAGCCUUUAAGUUAGUGCCUGGGUGUCUUUACAAUCUGAAAUCUGAAGAUCCAAAAUAAGGAACCAUAAGAGCAAACAAAAACUUUGUUGAGCAGUUAUUUAUUGUGAUUUUGCAAAUCCUGGCUGUAUGUACACAAUUAUUGUAUAGUUUGAUUCUUAUAUAUUUUUACAUAGGUACAUAUCAUUACUAGAGUAUAUACAUAAUUCUUAUAUUUAUAAAAUUAUCCUGCAUUUCAGCAGUGUUGUAACAUUGGAAUUAGAGUUAUGGUAAUGUUUAGUGCUUGUCUAACAUGCCAAUCUCUAUUCUUCAAGUUUAAUUAAAAGCGCCUUUUAAAAAACAU
ensembl:lncRNA